rnacentral:rRNA from 1 species
GCAGCAGCCGCGGGAAAACGUAGGUGGCGAGCGUUGUCCGGAAUUAUUGGGCGUAAAGGGAGCGAAGGCGGGCGAGUAAGUCUUUCUUAAAAGUGCGGGGCUCAACCCCGUGAGGGGAGAGAAACUACUCAUCUUGAGUGCAGGAGAGGAAAGCGGAAUUCCUAGUGUAGCGGUGAAAUGCGUAGAUAUUAGGAAGAACACCAGUGGCGAAGGCGGCCCCCUGGGCCAAUACUGACGCUCAUGCACGAAAGCGUGGGGAGCAAACAGGAUUAGAUACCCGCGUAGUCCCUGUCUCUUAUACA